GAGAAACGCUGGCGGCGCACAUAAGACAUGCAAGUCGAACGGAAUUUAGUCGAAUGUUUACAUGAGGCGAAAAUUUAGUGGCGGACGGGUGAGUAACACGUGAGCAACCUACCUUUAAGAGGGGGAUAACAUUGAGAAAUCAGUGCUAAUACCGCAUAAAGCUAUUUGGUCGCAUGACUAGAUAGCCAAAGGAGAAAUCCGCUUAAAGAUGGGCUCGCGGCUGAUUAGUUAGUUGGUGGGGUAAUGGCCUACCAAGACGAUGAUCGGUAGCCGAGCUGAGAGGCACAACGGCCACAUUGGGACUGAGACACGGCCCAG
rnacentral:rRNA from 1 species